UGGGGAAUUUUGGACAAUGGGCGAAAGCCUGAUCCAGCAAUGCCGCGUGUGUGAAGAAGGCCUUCGGGUUGUAAAGCACUUUUGUCCGGAAAGAAAUCCUUGGCUCUAAUACAGUCGGGGGAUGACGGUACCGGAAGAAUAAGCACCGGCUAACUACGUGCCAGCAGCCGCGGUAAUACGUAGGGUGCAAGCGUUAAUCGGAAUUACUGGGCGUAAAGCGUGCGCAGGCGGUUUGCUAAGACCGAUGUGAAAUCCCCGGGCUCAACCUGGGAACUGCAUUGGUGACUGGCAGGCUAGAGUAUGGCAGAGGGGGGUAGAAUUCCACGUGUAGCAGUGAAAUGCGUAGAGAUGUGGAGGAAUACCGAUGGCGAAGGCAGCCCCCUGGGCCAAUACUGACGCUCAUGCACGAAAGCGUGGGGAGUAAACAGGAUUAGAUACCCUGGUAGUCCACGCCCUAAACGAUGUCAACUAGUUGUUGGGGAUUCAUUCCUUAGUAACGUAGCUAACGCGUGAAGUUGACCGCCUGGGGAGUACGGUCGCAAGAUUAAAACUCAAAGGAAUUGACGGGGUCAUAGCUGUUUCCU
rnacentral:rRNA from 1 species